GCCACGGGCUCCCACGGGUUGCGAGGCCGCCGAGGUCCGUCCGGACCGAGGGCGCGCUGGCGGCCUCUGCCGGCUGAGGGGCGCAGCGCAGCGCCCCGCCCCGCCACGCUCGCCGAUUCCCCUGCGCCGUCGCGGGUCGGGCAGCCGGAUGACUGACCCGAAAGCCUAGGCUUUGGGAAUGAGACUGAUGGACACAAAAGCGCCAUUUAUCUAGAGCUCACCAUGUGCCAGAGUCACACAUUAUCUCACUGAAUCUUCACACUAGAAGAGGAGCCCUUAAUUUCCUUGGGGGCCAACUGGCAGGUGCAGAGCAUACAUUCCAUUAUCAAGCUUAAUUUUAGGUGUGGCCUCUACUUGAGGGCUCUUGCCAUUCUCUAUGGAAACAGGCUAACAAGACAUUUCUAAAUAUCACAAGGAAGUGGAAUGUGGCAGAAAAGCACCACCUAAGUAGGUUUCAGAUGAGUAGGAUUGUGAUCCUGAUGCCAAAAAAUCUGGCAGCAUGAAUUACGGGAUAAAACAAAUGGGCAUAUCAUCUGCCAAACUGGAUGUAAGGUUUAAACAAGACAACGAGAGUGAAAACCCACUGAGUUCCUCCCAUAAUCUAAACAUCAUUACUGUAUUAACUAUAAUCUAAGAGUUGGUCAUGUAGAAUGCCAAGAAACAUCUUAGGGUAGAACCCAUAAAACCUCACUGACGCUAACAAAGAAGCUAGCCCCCCAUGCCAGUCAGGCUGGAUUUCUUAGGGUGACAUUUCUGGACACAUUUUGCAAAGACAGAGGUAUCCAGUGGUCAGUGACUAAACUCAUAAGGGGACAAGACAUUGUUCUGCUGCAACAUGAACUAGGGCUCAUCAAUAUGAAGGAUAAAGAUACAGAGGGAGAAGAAGGGAAAGUGUAGACAUUUCUGAAAAGCUAAAGCAAAUAAACAUACACCAAAAAGAAGUGAACCUGACUAUAUGAUGUGGGAGUAUUCAAAGCAACUGCAUAAUUCUUUAGAAGAAGAAACUUUUUUUUUUUUUCCUCUAGGAUACUACAGUAAACAAUAGAAGAGGAAACCAAAAUGUCAAAUAUUGAUUUAGUGUAUGGGAACCUUAGUUAAAUAGCUUGGGGAACUAUUCUUUCUUCUGGGGAGGGACUUUUGUACCAUAUAAAAAUACUAAAAUCCAAAUGUCCCACAUAGUAUUUAUUGCAAUAUAAUGUCAAAUAACAUUUAAAGGCUAAUUCUUUUCUCUGUGUCCUUUAAGCUUAAGGAAAAAUAAAAGCAUAUUCCU
rnacentral:lncRNA from 1 species